GACGGAAGGUGCAAGCGUUGUUCGGAAUUACUGGGCGUAAAGGGUUUGUAGGUGGCCAACUAAGUCAGACGUGAAAUCCCUCAGCUUAACUGGGGAACUGCGUCUGAUACUGGUUGGCUUGAGUGCAGGAGAGGAACGCGGAAUUCCAGGUGUAGCGGUGAAAUGCGUAGAUAUCAGGAGGAACACCGAUGGCGAAGGCAGGUCUCUGGGCCGAUACUGACGCUGAGGAGCGAAAGCGUGGGGAGCGAACAGG
rnacentral:rRNA from 1 species